rnacentral:rRNA from 1 species
GACAUCCAGAGAACUUGGCAGAGAUGCCUUGGUGCCUUCGGGACCUCUGAGACAGGUGCUGCAUGGCUGUCGUCAGCUCGUGUUGUGAAAUGUUGGGUUAAGUCCCGNAACGAGCGCAACCCCUAUCCUUUGUUGCCAGCGAUUCGGUCGGGAACUCAAAGGAGACUGCCGGUGAUAAACCGGAGGAAGGUGGGGAUGACGUCAAGUCAUCAUGGCCCUUACGAGUAGGGCUACACACGUGCUACAAUGGCGCAUACAAAGAGAAGCGACCUCGCGAGAGCAAGCGGACCUCAUAAAAGUGCGUCGUAGUCCGGAUCGGAGUCUGCAACUCGACUCCGUGAAGUCGGAAUCGCUAGUAAUCGUAGAUCAGAAUGCUACGGUGAAUACGUUCCCGGGCCUUGUACACACCGCCCGUCACACCAUGGGAGUGGGUUGCAAAAGAAGUAGAUAGCUUAACCUUCGGGAGGGCGUUUACCACUUUGUGAUUCAUGACUGGGGUGAAGUCGUAACAAGGUAAGCGUAGCGAG